AGACUGAGGCAAUCGUUGCUGAAGUCAGUGUUGUAAUGGUGAAUCGAGAUUUUUAAUGAAGUGGGUGUGAUUACUCUUGACUGUUUUGUGAAAUCGAAGUUAUGUCUAUGAUUGAAGAAUUAAAAGGGUGUCUAUAAGAUUGAGUAUGCGGAGUGAAUGAAAUUUAUUGGAUUAAUCUAACGAGACAUUCAGUGGAUACAAGAUUGUGAGUAUAAAGCGAUAUCGAAGAUUAGUAGUUUGGGUUGUUUGGGAUUCUCCGUAAUGUCUAGAGACCUACCGGCUGAGGCAAAAAGGACUU
rnacentral:lncRNA from 1 species